rnacentral:misc_RNA from 1 species
UGAGGAACUAAAAUUGGAUGAAUACGGUUUUUUUGCCGU